GACGAACGCUGGCGGCGUGCCUAAUACAUGCAAGUAGAACGCUGAAGGAGGAGCUUGCUUCUCUGGAUGAGUUGCGAACGGGUGAGUAACGCGUAGGUAACCUGCCUGGUAGCGGGGGAUAACUAUUGGAAACGAUAGCUAAUACCGCAUAAUAUUGACUAUUGCAUGAUAGUCAAUUAAAAGGUGCAAUUGCAUCACUACCAGAUGGACCUGCGCUGUAUUAGCUAGUUGGUGAGGUAACGGCUCACCAAGGCGACGAUACAUAGCCGACCUGAGAGGGUGAUCGGCCACACUGGGACUGAGACACGGCCCAGACUCCUACGGGAGGCAGCAGUAGGGAAUCUUCGGCAAUGGACGGAAGUCUGACCGAGCAACGCCGCGUGAGUGAAGAAGGUUUUCGGAUCGUAAAGCUCUGUUGUAAGAGAAGAACGAGUGUGAGAGNGGAAAGUUCACACNGNGACGGU
rnacentral:rRNA from 1 species